AACGAUCUGGCUCACUAAUAAUAAUAAUUCGUUAGGUCCAAACAACUAUACAGCCCAAAAAAUUUUAGCUUAGUUAUUAUUACUAAGAUCAAUGGUCUCUCCCAUUUUCACCCCUCGACUCACUACUAAUACUAACUCAUUGGGACCAAACAAUUAGUACAAAAUGUUUAAACUCAGUUAUUAUUAUUAGGGGUGUAAGGACUGAGAUUUUGACAGUGCAACUAAACUUUCUGUUGACGAUGUUUAGGUGUGUAAUUUAAUUACAAAAGUAUUCGUUAAGUUUCAGGAGAAACCGAGUUAGAAUGGAGAAUUUACGCGAUUAUUAGUUUUCACUUAAAGUGAAUAGUAACCUGGUUUUUCGGUGAAG
rnacentral:lncRNA from 1 species